rnacentral:misc_RNA from 1 species
CUNGGUGCGUACGGGCUUGUCGGAUCCCUGCUCGGGCAGCGACGGCAACUCCUGCGCGCCUCUUCAGUUGUCGGUUCAAGUGUGCCUUGAUUGAUGUCGGUUUCCUGUGUUGCUUACCUAUUGUGGAGGUAUUGUGCCGGUUAAAAGUGCCCCGUUCCGUCUUGCGCUGCAUCCUUUUCAAGGCUGCGGUGUGGGAUGGACCACGAAGGUUUGCCGUGUUCCAAAACCCAGGCUUAAUUGUCCUCGGGCUGUUGGCGCACGGCGGUGUGCUCGAUCUCUCGGAUACGGAAAAUUGAGUGGGUACGAGGCGUUUGCUCUCUAUUUGCCCCGAAAAAAAGGCGUUUCACGCUCCGUGCGAACGACGGCCGUCUCCGUCGUGAUCGAGUCCUCGCGGCUCGCAUCAUGCGGCGUCGGCGUCGGUAAGGAA